UAAAAAAUGAAAUGCGUGCAUCAGAAGUAGUCGAAAGAAAGAACGUUUGGCGGUUUCUUCCUUUUCUAAAUGUGCUCUCGAUCCACAAAUUACGGCAUGCGAUAAUGCUACCUCUUCUGGCUUAGACAAAUAAUCAACUAUCCGCAAAUCUAGUGGCGCCAUCGGCAUCUGCAAACAACAACGCGCUACCUCUUGAGCUCAGCAUACCCUUCAAAUAAAAUUAUAUUUUUGCGAUACAAGUAAUACAAGCUUAUUCUGUGCUCGCUAAAA